rnacentral:rRNA from 1 species
CAAGCAGCGGAGCAUGUGGCUUAAUUCGACGCAACGCGAAGAACCUUACCAGGGCUUGACAUGCAGGGAAAAGCGGCGGAAACGUCGUGUCCGCAAGGGCCCUGCACAGGUGGUGCAUGGCUGUCGUCAGCUCGUGUCGUGAGAUGUUGGGUUAAGUCCCGCAACGAGCGCAACCCUCGUCCUAUGUUGCCAGCGGGUCAUGCCGGGGACUCAUGGGAGACUGCCGGGGUCAACUCGGAGGAAGGUGGGAUGACGUCAAAUCAUCAUGCCCCUUAUGUCUUGGGCUUCACGCAUGCUACAAUGGCCGGUACAAAGGGCUGCGAUACCGCGAGGUGGAGCGAAUCCCAGAAAGCCGGUCUCAGUUCGGAUUGGGGUCUGCAACUCGACCCCAUGAAGUCGGAGUCGCUAGUAAUCGCAGAUCAGCAACGCUGCGGUGAAUACGUUCCCGGGCCUU